CCGACCCAGCGCCGCUUAUGGCCGACACGCCGGUCAUCCCCGAUCCUCCGUCGGUCGAGGAGAUCGACCAAGACAGAUGAUCGGGCCCUGCCGACUACCUCUGUUUUUGUUUUUCUUUUUUCCUGAAGUACUUGUAAUCGGGCUUCGACCCGACUUUGUAAUUCUCUUUCAGUUUUGAAUGAAACUUUUUCACUCUCUCCUUUUGUUUGUAACGUCGAAUGUAUCUGUAAUGUCGC
rnacentral:lncRNA from 1 species